AAAACGUGUCUGGUCUCACAUGUGGCUUAGAGUCAACACUGGCCCACUUCAGCGCCAUGGCCAUGCCUGCUUUAAAGGCGCAGUGUGAUGCUGCUGGAGCUGGUACGUUGGGCUGACAUCUGCCUGUGGCUUGCUCAUCUGAGGAUCAGCCGCUUGUCCCCGAUUCUUCAUGCAUGACGCGGUUUUGGAUUCUCUCGUGCACAGGUGACAGUGGCAACGAGACCGUCCAAGUUCAAACGCAGACGUCGGAGAUCCCUCUUCUGGUUUUCCCAAGCUGCUGUUGACAGUUUCAGUUCAGUGUUUUUGACAAACGCUGCAAGGAUGGUGCUGUCCCCGCUGAACCAACUCUGAAGCCCAUCACGCAACGACUCAGCCCUGGGGAUGGUUCUCUCCCCGGGACAGACGGUGACAGCUCUCCCGGCUGCCUCCGAGCUUUGGCAGUUGUGACACGGCAGCUCUGAGGAUUUUGGGGCCCCUUGUGGGGUUCUGCACACACAGCGUGUGUCCCCCACUGUCUGCUCUCCAGCUGACAAGCGGUCAAUCCCUGCACAGCCUGUAGGAGCACUCCAAAACAAAGUAAAAAAAUAAAAAUUUAAAAAUAUAUAAAUGCUGCAGGUAUAACACUCUUAAAUAAAACAGUGGCGCACAUAUUCACGACUUGGGGUUGAUCACAAGCAGCGAAAGAAAAAACCGGAUAAAUUGGACUUUGUUAGAAUGAAAAACCUUAUUCAUCAAAGACAUGGCCAAGAAAGUGUAAAGAUAACUUAGCAAAUGGGAGAAACAUUUUUUAAGAUUUAUUUUUAUUUAUUUGAAAGGCACAGAUACAGAGAGAGAUGGAGAACGAGAGAAAGAGAGAGAUCUUUCAUCUGCUGGUUUGUUUCCCAGACGGUAGAAAUGACCAGGGCUGGACCAGACAGAAGCCAGGAGCCAGGAGCAUCUUCCAGGUCUCCCAUGUGGGUGCAGGGGCCCAAGCACUUGGGCCAUCCUCUGCUUCUUUCCCAGGUGCAUUAGCAGGGAGCUGAAUUCAAAAUGGAACAGCCAGGACUCAAACUAUUGCCCAUACGAGAUGCUGGUCUCACAGGCGGCAGCCUUGUUGGCUACACCACAGCACCAGCCCCGAGAAAUGUUUUCAAAUCGUGAAAAGAAAUCCGUAUCCAGAAUACAUGAAGAACAUUAAAGAUGCAACCAUAAAAUGAGGACCCAGUCUUUGAAAAGUGGGCAAAGGAUCUGAGCAGGUGGUUCUCCAAAGAAGAUAUUGAAAUGACCAGUGCAUACUGAGGAGAUAUCAACAUUGCUGGUCGAUAGGGACUGUGAAUCCACGCCGUAAGGACAUGGCACUUCAUCCUCCAGGGUGACUAAGGUAACAAAGAAAGACAAUAGCAACUGUUGGCAAGAAUGUGAAAAAUUUGGGAACUCGGAACCCUUGCCCGUCGUCAUAGAUGGGAGUGUAUGAUGGUGUGGCAACCUUGGGAGCAGCCUGGCAGUUCUCCAGAACGCUAGCUAUGGAGUGACCUUGUGGCCCAGGAAUUCCAUUCCUGGAAACAAACCCAAGCGGAACGCAGGUAUGUAUGUGCAGGAGAACUUGUCCACAAGCGUUCAGAGUAGCGUCGUUCACAACCGCACAGGAGGGUGGAUGCUGCCGCACAUGCAGGCCCCGGAACCCACGGGCGAUGGCGAGGAGAGGAGUGCCGAUCCUGCUGCAGCCAGAGAGCACGGAAGGGUGGGAGUGCGAGAGGCCACGGUGAGAGACCACGGACUGAAUGACUCCAUGCGUAUGAAAUGCCCGAGUCGGCAGAGCCCCGGAGAUAGAACCAGGGGAUGGGGAGAGAGGACAGGGACGCUACUGCUGCCGGGUAAGGGGUGAUAAAAAAAACACCUUAGUUCUCGUUAGCGAUGCUGGUCGCACAACCUCCAGUGCUAGAAACCACUGAAUUGUGCAUUUAAAAAAGGAUGAAUUUGUGAUACGAGACUAUUACCUCAGUAACGUAGUUAUUUACCGAACGGUGCAUUUCCGCCUAUCAGAACAGUCCCGUCUCGAGGUCUGAUCACACAGUGCUGACCAGGGUCAGGUGAGUGGAUCCUCAGUGAGCUGAAGACGCUCGUGACGCUGGUGCAGCCCACCUGGGCGAUGCCAUGUGGCUCCCACAUUUAACGUGGGUAUUCCCCUUGGAUUAUCUGUAUCUAAAAUGAGUGUACCCCUUGUGGCUUCUAUAUUUAAUAUGAAAAUACCUUGUGUGGUUUAUUUUUCUUGUAAGAUUUAGUUAUGUAUUCAAAAGGUAGAAUUACAGAGAGAGACAA